CCACAAUUAGCCAUGUUGUGGGCAGUGCUCUACUCAAAAAGCUGUCAGUCACUUAGAUUACAUGUGACUGACACCUCUUUGGGUGAAGGAAGGCUCACCAAGUACACUUUUGUGGUG
rnacentral:precursor_RNA from 1 species